UUAAAAAGCUCGUAGUUGGAUCUCGGCGGGCAGGGGGUGGUUCGCUCUUCAGCGCUACUGCCCCGCUUUGCCUGUGUGAUUGGCGGAGGUUUCGGGGUGCUCUUCGUUGAGUGACUCGGAGCGCCGUCAGGUUUACUUUGAAAAAAUUAGAGUGCUCAAAGCAGGCUUUUCACGCUUGAAUAUUCGUGCAUGGAAUAAUGGAAUAGGAACUCGUUUCUAUUUUGUUGGUUUUCGGAAAUCGAGUUAAUGAUUAACAGGGACAAUUGGGGGCAUUAGUAUUCAGACGACAGAGGUGAAAUUCUUGGACCGUCUGAAGACUGACUACUGCGAAAGCAUUUGCCAAGAGUGUUUUCAUUAAUCAAGAACGAAAGUUAGAGGUUCGAAGGCGAUCAGAUACCGCCCUAGUUCUAACCAUAAACGAUGCCAGCUAGCGAUCUGCCGAGUUUUUUUUGUAGGCCCCGCAGGAAGCUUUCGGGAAACCAAAGCUUU
rnacentral:rRNA from 1 species